GACGAACGCUGGCGGCGUGCUUAACACAUGCAAGUCGAACGGAAAGGCCCUGCUUGCAGGGUGCUCGAGUGGCGAACGGGUGAGUAACACGUGGGUGAUCUGCCCCUUACUUUGGGAUAAGCCUGGGAAACUGGGUCUAAUACUGGAUAGGACCAUGCUUUAGGUGGUGUGGUGGAAAGAUUAGUUUCGGUAAGGGAUGAGCUCGCGGCCUAUCAGCUUGUUGGUGGGGUAAUGGCCUACCAAGGCGUCGACGGGUAGCCGGCCUGAGAGGGUGGACGGCCACAUUGGGACUGAGAUACGGGCCAGACUCCUACGGGAGGCAGCAGUGGGGAAUAUUGCACAAUGGGCGCAAGCCUGAUGCAGCGACGCCGCGUGGGGGAUGAAGGCCUUCGGGUUGUAAACUCCUUUCAGCCAUGACGAAGCCUUCGGGUGACGGUAGUGGUAGAAGAAGCACCGGCUAACUACGUG
rnacentral:rRNA from 1 species